GGACCAAGGAGUCUAACAUCUAUGCGAGUAUUUGAGUGAAAAACUCUGAUGCGCAAUGAAAGUAAAGGUAGCUUCGGCUGCUGAGGUAGGAAUCCGGUCAAACGGAGGCACUAUCGACCGAUCAUCACUUGUGAAAGAUUUGAGUAAGAGCAUAUCUGUUGGGACCCGAAAGAUGGUGAUCUAUGCCUGAACAGGGUGAAGCCAGGAGAAAUUCUGGUGGAGGCUCGUAGCGAUACUGACGUGCAAAUCGUUCGUCUGAUUUGGGUAUAGGGGCGAAAGACUAAUCGAACCAUCUAGUAGCUGGUUCCCUCCGAAGUUUCCCUCAGGAUAGCUGGAACUUAUACAGUUUUAUCAGGUAAAGCUAAUGAUUAGAGGUUCCGGAGCUGAAACAGCUUUGACCUAUUCUCAAACUUUAAAUAGGUAAGAAGUCCCGUGUUACUUAACUGAACCGGGACAUCGAAUGGAAGUUCUUAGUGGGCCAUUUUUGGUAAGCAGAACUGGCGAUGCGGGAUGAACCGGACGUUGAGUUACGGUGCCAAACUAUUCGCUCAUCUAGAUCCCUCAAAAGGUGUUGGUUCAUUUAGACAGC
rnacentral:rRNA from 1 species